rnacentral:rRNA from 1 species
UGCAAGUCGAACGCAACCUUCGGGUUGAGUGGCGGACGGGUGAGUAACGCGUGAGAAUCUGCCUUGGGGUCGGGGACAACCACUGGAAACGGUGGCUAAUACCGGAUAAGCCUUUGGGUAAAAAAUUUAUUGCCCCAAGAGGAGCUCGCGUCUGAUUAGCUAGUUGGUGAGGUAAAAGCUCACCAAGGCAGCGAUCAGUAGCCGGUCUGAGAGGACGAUCAGCCACACUGGGACUGAGACACGGCCCAGACUCCUACGGGAGGCAGCAGUGGGGAAUUUUCCGCAAUGGGCGAAAGCCUGACGGAGCAAGACCGCGUGAGGGAGGAAGGCUCUUGGGUUGUAAACCUCUUUUCUCAGGGAAGAAGCUCUGACGGUACCUGAGGAAUCAGCCUCGGCUAACUCCGUGCCAGCAGCCGCGGUAAUACGGAGGAGGCAAGCGUUAUCCGGAAUUAUUGGGCGUAAAGCGUCCGCAGGUGGCGAUUCAAGUCUGCUGUCAAAGCACGGGGCUUAACUCCGUUAAGGCAGUGGAAACUGAAUAGCUAGAGUGCCGUAUGGGUAGAGGGAAUUCCCGGUGUAGCGGUGAAAUGCGUAGAGAUCGGGAAGAACAUCGGUGGCGAAAGCGCUCUACUGGACGGCAACUGACACUCAGGGACGAAAGCUAGGGGAGCGAAUGGGAUUAGAUACCCCAGUAGUCCUAGCUGUAAACGAUGGAUACUAGGUGUAGCUUGUAUCGACCCGAGCUGUGCCGAAGCUAACGCGUUAAGUAUCCCGCCUUGGGGAGUACGCACGCAAGUGUGAAACUCAA